GGGUUCGUAGCUCUAAUUGGGAGAGCGCCUGUCUUGCACACAGAAGGUUGUGAGUUCAAACCUCACCGAAUCCA
rnacentral:tRNA from 1 species